AGCAGCCGCGGUAAUUCCAGCUCCAAUAGCGUAUAUUAAAGUUGUUGCAGUUAAAAAGCUCGUAGUUGAAUUUCGGGAUCAAUAUGUUGGUCGUGCCUUGGUACGUACUGGCAUUAUCGAUUCCUACCUUCUGAAGAACCUCGAUGUCAUUAAUUUGGUGUCUUGGGGAAUCAGGACUGUUACUUUGAAAAAUUAGAGUGUUUAAAGCAGGCUCGCGCUUGAAUACAUUAGCAUGGAAUAAUGAAAUAGGACGUUUGAUUCUAUUUUGUUGGUUUCUAGGAUCGACGUAAUGAUUAAUAGGGAUAGUUGGGGGCAUUAGUAUUCAAUUGUCAGAGGUGAAAUUCUUGGAUUUAUUGAAGACUAACUACUGCGAAAGCAUUUGCCAAGGAUGUUUUCAUUAAUCAAGAACGAAAGUUAGGGGAUCGAAGACGAUCAGAUACCGUCGUAGUCUUAACCAUAAACUAUGCCGACUAGGGAUCGGAUGAUGUUAAUUUUUAAUGUACUCAU
rnacentral:rRNA from 1 species